rnacentral:tRNA from 1 species
UAUUUAAAUAGCUUAAUUAGAGUAUAAUAUUGAAGAUAUUGGGGUAAAUAUAAAUAUUUUUUAAAU